CCCCAAAUCCACCUCUGCCUUCUCUGUCCAGAGAACUAUUUUCAAUGUGUCUUCUAAGAAUCUGUUCAAGGUACACUUUAUGAGACCUUUCCUGUUCUAGGUUGUUACUCUGCAGUCCCAGAAUCCUCCAGGCAUAGCUUUACCGGCUUGUUUAUUAUCCAAUUGUGAUGAUUUGUUUGCAUAGUGACCUAUACUAUUAGUCUAUGAGCUCAUUAACAUACCUUGGUCAUCUGACUGUUCCCAGAAUGAAGCACAGUUCUUGGCUUCACAGUAGAUAUGAAGAGUUGUAGUGGAGAGAAAGAAAUAUAAGGCCCAUUUCCUAUCCACCUCUCCUGCCAGAAAGAUCAGUGCUGUUCUCAACCUCUGUCUCAGAAGUGGACAGCAGACAAUGAAAAGACUCUGUAACCGGUCAAAGUAUUGAAAAUAAGUGACUGCUGAGUCACAGCCCUAAAUGGAGGAGAUGAGAUGAUUCUUUUGGCUCCAACAACCUCUACAACAUUUCAGCAAGGCCGUUCUCUGUUUACCAAAUGAAUACACUGGCCCAGGAGCCAAGGAGAAAUCAGUUCCAGGCCUCUCCAAUGAAAAAAGAGAAGAAUGCUAUAAGUUCUAAAUCCAAAGGGAAGUCUUGGGGUUGAGUUAACUGGAGAGUCUGUGCUGAAGUUUGUAGGUGUGCAAAGUCAGGAGCAGCACUAUGCUGAGAUGAUUGGAACUCAAAAUUCUACAACUCUCUUUCAACCGUCUCCACUGGAAGCAAGGAGCAUCCUGCAACCGGCUGCUUUCCCAUCCCACCUGGAUCUUCUCGAAAGCCGGCCGCCACCUAAGAAGAUCUAUCUAAUCGGGUCAGCGCGUUGGACUCUCAAUGUCAUUUGUAAAUGCUAUCUCCAAGGGUGUGUGGAGAAACUGCCUAAGCGAAGGAGCCGUGGGAGCCCGGCUCCUGUCCCCAGGGCACCUUAAAGGAACUUCAGUACCUCAACUCCAAGUUCAAAGGUGGGAAUGCCCAAGGUGUGUCUGAGGUGUGGGAAAAAGAGCAGAGUCAGAGAAGACCACAGCUUACACCAGUCUGGAAAAUGCCAUGGGCGCGUGCAGCAAGUAGACGGACACGGCGCUGUGGAACAGCUUGUGAGCAGGUUUCGGGGAACACUGCGCUGGCAACGGUGUGCAUGCUAGAAUGGAGUCUCACUAGUUUUGCUGGUGGAAAACAUGUUCCAUGGCAAGACAAUGUAUGACCCAAGUUUGGAUCCCAGCACCCACAUGGCAGCUCACAACCAUCUCUAACUCCAAUUCCAGGGGAUCCAGCACCCUCUUCUGACCUCUGAGGCAGCAGGCUCACAUGUGGUGCACCGGCAUACGUGCAGGCAAAACACACACUUGAAAUAAAUUUUUUGAAAAAUGA